UGGUAUUACCAUGAGUUCCCUGCAAGCACUUCACCAUGCACUACCCCAAGGGCUAUUGUGAAGUGUUUGGGGGAACUCUUGGUGUCACCA
rnacentral:pre_miRNA from 1 species